CUAGAGCGCUGACUGGCAUCGUCUAAAUCAGCCUUUACUCUUGAAAUUCUCAAGCUUCCAGCAGAGCUGCUGCAGUUUUUCGGAGCUGGUGGUUACAGUGCAUCGACUCUCGGGGCCAUAUCAAAAACGAGCUUGCAAAAGAUUUAUCUGAAUCCACACUGGUUGUAGAUGUCGAUGAAAUUUUAUUGCGGAUUUUUACAUGGUAUCAAGAUACCCUGAAAUCUCUACUGGAAAACUCUGUCAUGGGAAAAUCACUCAUAGAAAGAAGUAAUACGGGAGAAUUCGCCAACCUAAGGUCAGAAAGAGCGGGUAGGCAUAUAAGCGGAAUAUCAUCUGAGUCUUGGAAUCAAAACCACGGAGAAUCUAUUGGACGACUACGUCUCAUAAAUUGUUCAUUUAUUCAAACAGGAAAAAAGGGAAAAUAACGUAGCUUAUAGACCAUGGAAUUCGUAAAACGCAAAAUCUACGAGAAUACCGAGAACCUAUUAAAUGCCCAAAAAAACAAGUAAAACUGCUAGAAUAACACUUAGAAAACCAUAGAAAACACGAUGAAGAAAGAGAAAAUUGCCCGAUAUCGUUAUUUUUUGUUUAUUGAGAUGGCAGGCAAGGAUGAUUAUUUUCUAUGAAGACUAGAUGCAUAAUUCAUUCUGAAGACUCUUCAUAAAUAAUUUUAAAAUGUUAUAAUUGUAAAAAGAAAUCUUACUGAAAAUAAACUAGAAACUAUUUCUCACAAUUAUUCAGAAAAAUACUGAAUGUAUACUGAUAAAAAAAACAAUUAUUUCCAACGAUAACUAAUU